GAUGAACGCUUGCGGCAGGCUUAAUACAUGCAAGUCGAACGGUAACAGGGUCUUCGGACUGCUGACGAGUGGCGGAUGGGUGAGUAACGCGUAUGCAACCUUCCUCACACCGAGAAAAAGUCGACUGAAAAGUUGAAUAAAGUCUCGUGGUGUGCAUUUCUCGCAUGAGAGAUGUAUGAUAGGAGCAAUUUGGUGUGAGAUGGGCAUGCGUAUCAUUAGCUAGUUGGUAAGGUAACGGCUUACCAAGGCUACGAUGAUUAGGGGGCCUGAGAGGGUGGUCCCCCACACUGGGACUGAGACACAGCCCAGACUCCUACGGGAGGCAGCAGUAGGGAAUAUUGGUCAAUGGGCGGAAGCCUGAACCAGCCAUGCCGCGUGAUGGAUGACGGCCUUAGGGUUGUAAACAUCUUUUCUGCUAGAGGAAUAGAGUCCACGUGUGGACAGACGACUGUAUAGCAGGAAUAAGGAUCGGCUAACUCCGUGCCAGUAGCCGCGGUAAUACGGAGGAUUCGAGCGUUAUCCGGAUUUACUGGGUUUAAAGGGUGCGCAGGCGGGCUCUUAAGUCAGCGGUGAAAUGUCUGGGCUUACCCUAGGAAUUGCCGUUGAUACUGGGAGUCUUGGAUAAGCAUAAGGACGGCGGAAUGCGUAGUGUAGCGGUGAAAUGCUUAGAUAUUACGUAGAAGACCAAUUGCGAAGGCAGCUGUCUGGGUCUUUAUCGACGCUCAAGCACGAAAGCGUGGGGAGCAAACAGG
rnacentral:rRNA from 1 species